UCUUUGGUGAUCUAGUUGUAUGA
rnacentral:miRNA from 1 species